CAUGUCUGAGCACCAGUCCAUCUUCCAGGGAUCUGCAGUUGGGUGACCCAUGCCAGAGAUGAUGAUCCUCUGCUGAGCUGCUCCAGGAGGAGAGGACACAAGUCCUGCCAGAGGACACACAAACAUCACUGCCAUGUGUCAUCUGUCCUGGUCACCAAGGAAUUUGAUUCCGGUGCCUAGAACAGCUUUUGUGUUACUGGCAGCUCUUCUUUCUGCACCCAUUGAAAUUUAUAAAAAUAAGACAAUGCGAGUGGUGAACUUGUUGGCACUGGUAGCUACAAGCAGCAGUUUUCUUCUAGUCAGAGAAGAGGAGGAAGUGAGGCCGUGAGGGGAAACAACAUGGCAGCACCAGGGUCAGGGGGAAGAAAGGAAGGGGAGGAGGUGCUCCAAGUGUCGGAGCCGAGAUUCCUCUGCAAGCCGUGGGGAGGACAAUGGGAAAACAAACUGUGCCCUUGGAAUGCGUGAAGUUCCUGGGGGAUGCAGAGAUCCACUCACAGCCCGUGGGAAAAGUGCUCACGCCGGAGCGGGGGGAUGCCAGAGAAAGCUGUGAUCCAGUGGGAGACCCGGAUAGAGGGAGAGGGUCCCUGCUUCCAGAGACAGAGAGAGAGGGUCCCUGCUUCCAGAGACAGAGAGAGAGGGUCCCUGCUUCCAGAGACAGAGAGAGAGGGUCUCUGCUUCCAGAAACAGAGAGAGAGAGGGUCCCUGCCUCAAGAGAUAGAGAGAGAGGGUCCCUGCUUCCAGAGACAGAGGGUCCCUGCUUCCAGAGACAGAGAGAGAGAAGGUCCCUGCUUCCAGAGACAGAGGGUCCCUGCUUCCAAACUAGAGCAGUCUGCUCUUUAAGGACUGCAUCCUGUGGACGAGUGAGCCAUGUCACAGCAAUUUUGGGAAGACUUUUUGCCUAUGAAAGGGACCCCAUGGCAUAGCAGAAAAGAGAUUCCUCUCCCAGAGCAAACCCAAAAAGAUCUCAGGUGACAAACUGACCAAAACCCCCAUGCCCUGUCUCCCUGUGCUGUUGGUGGAGAGGAGGGAGGGGCUGGGGAGAGGGUGUGUGGAAGAAAGGUGUUUUAAGGACUUAUUUUACUUUGCAUUUCCUCCUCUGACUGUUAAAAAUAAAU